CGGACAGAUACAGAGGGAAGGCCAUGAAAACACACAGGGAGAAGACAGCCAUCUGCAAGCCAAGGAUGGAGGCCUCAGAAGAAACCAACCCUGAAGACCCCUUGGUCUCAGCCUCCAGAAAUUUGGCUUAUGAGGAAACUGAGUCCCAGAGAGGGGCAAUGACUUAUACAAGUUUUCCAUGGGGCCUGGUGGAAGACUAGGACGGUCAACAGCAGCCUGGAGAGCCUGGAGUCUGCGUCAAUAUGCAACCCUAGCCCUGCACGCUGGGCGUUUGCCUGAGGUUUCCAGUGCACCGGA
rnacentral:lncRNA from 1 species